UACGGAGGGUGCAAGCGUUAUCCGGAUUCACUGGGUUUAAAGGGUGCGUAGGAGGGCAGGUAAGUCAGUGGUGAAAUCUUCGAGCUUAACUCGGAAACUGCCGUUGAUACUAUCUGUCUUGAAUCCCGUGGAGAUGAGCGGAAUAUGUCAUGUAGCGGUGAAAUGCUUAGAUAUGACAUAGAACACCAAUUGCGAAGGCAGCUGGCUACACAAAUAUUGACACUGAGGCACGAAAGCGUGGGGAUCAAACAGG
rnacentral:rRNA from 1 species